UGCAACCUCCGCCUCCUGGGAUCAAGUGAUUCUCGUGCCUCAGCCUCCUGAGUAGCCGGGACUACAGGUCACAGAAUUUUCCACACUCCUUGACAGAGGUGCUUAACCCUUAUCCAUCAGCAUUCUCAGACAGCACCUCCGGUUAGGGACAGUAUCUGACCGUCCGACAUCCCUGCAGCCCCCAUGUGUCACACAGACUCAGCCUCAGGUAGAUGGUUUCCGUAGAUGGUGGCUUUCUUUGGACCCUUGACAUCAACCAGUUACUAUUUGGUCUAGGGGUCUCACCAACGCUGCUCAUCUAGCAGGGCCACACAUAACAAAUAGAAGCAGAGCAAGCCCUGGAACUCCUGCCUGACAGUGACACGACGACAGAAACAUCUUACCAGUCAGAGGACCAUGAGAAAUAGAUUCAAGGAGCAUUCCACGUGCAAGUGAGUCUUGGCCCCAUCUGCCUUUGGAUUUUAGCCGUGAACUGGAAGGUAUUGGAAAGAAGACCCUCAGAAAUAGCUUAAUCAAAAUCCCUGCGUCUGAACCAAGUGCCUUAUUUCUCUGUGGGCCUCAAGCUUCGCUGACAUCUGUGGAGCACACUGUCCUAACAGGAGUGCUGUCUGAUUUCCCAACGCUCUGCAAAACAAACAGCCUGGAAGGGUGGCUGGUG
rnacentral:lncRNA from 1 species